ensembl:rRNA 5S_rRNA 5S ribosomal RNA
GUCUACGGCCAUACCACCCUGAACAUGUCUGGUCUUGUCUGAUCUUGGAAGCUAAGCAGGGUAGGGCCUGGUUAGUACUUGGAUGGGAAAACCAAACAUGCUUACAAAUAGGUAAAUU